CCUACGGGUGGCAGCAGUGGGGGAUAUUGCACAAUGGGGGAAACCCUGAUGCAGCGACGCCGCGUGGGUGAAGAAGUAUUUCGGAAUGUAAAGCCCUAUCAGCAGGGAAGAAGAAAGGACGGUACAUGAGAAAGAAGCACCGGCUCAAUCAGGGCCAGCAGCCGCGGUAAUACGGAGGGUGCAAGCGUUAUCCGGAGUUACUGGGUGUAAAGGGAGCGCAGGCGGGACGGCAAGCCUGCUGUGAAAGCCCGCGGCCCAACCGCGGGACUUCAUUGGGAACUACCGGGCUGGAGUGCCGGAGAGGUAGGCGGAAUUCCUUGUGUAGCGGUGAAAUGCGUAGAUAUUUGGAGGAACACCAGUGGCGAAGGCGGCCUACUGGACGGUGACUGACGCUGAGGCUCGAAAGCGUGGGGAGCAAACAGGAUUAGAUACCCCAGUAGUC
rnacentral:rRNA from 1 species